AUUGAACGCUGGCGGCAGGCUUAACACAUGCAAGUCGAACGAGCGGCGGACGGGUGAGUAAUGUAUGGGAAUCUGCCCGAUAGAGGGGGAUAACUACUGGAAACGGUCGCUAAUACCGCAUACUAUAGGAUGAGCCCAUGUGGGAUUAGCUAGUUGGUGGGGUAAAGGCCCACCAAGGCGACGAUCUCUAGCUGGUCUGAGAGGAUGACCAGCCACACUGGGACUGAGACACGGCCCAGACUCCUACGGGAGGCAGCAGUGGGGAAUAUUGCACAAUGGGCGCAAGCCUGAUGCAGCCAUGCCGCGUGAAUGAAGAAGGCCUUCGGGUUGUAAAGUACUUUCAGCGGCGAGGCGUUACUCGCAGAAGAAGCACCGGCUAACUCCGUGCCAGCAGCCGCGGUAAUUC
rnacentral:rRNA from 1 species